UGGGCUUAUCGUCUAAAGGAUUAGGACAGAGACCUUCUAAGUCUCGAAUGUAGGUUCGAAUCCUACUAAGCCUGU
rnacentral:tRNA from 1 species